CUCACUCUCUCUCUCUCUCUCUCUCUCUUCCUCCGAGCGGAAGAUUCUUCCCCAUAUGGUGGCGACGAUCACUCAACGGAAAAAUUCACAAAGCUAUUAAAAGGGAUCUCAGGGAAGUCUGAAUAACACGAAAAAUAAACUUUGGUGCUGACCUUCUUAGGGGUUCUUACUGCUAGGCAUGGUCUCAUCGAAUCGUCUCUGCGAAGGCGACAGCUAUUGUUCUAGGGCAGUGAUCACACGAUUACCCCUUUCUCAGUAAACUUUGGUGCCGGCCUUCUCGGAGGAUUCUUACCGUAAAGCGUGGUCACAUCGAAUCGCCUCUGCGAAGGCGGUGACUAUUGUUCGUUCUAGGGCAGUGAUUUUGUUCUCAAGAAAAUUCCUCUACCGCCACCGCUGCUGGUAUCUUGAUUGAGGGAGACGGUGGUUGAGGGUAGAAGGCGAGCAGGAUAAGAAGUAAUGACGCUGAUGCCAGUUUCUUGAUCUUUGCCGGAGAGGACGGAGGUGAGGGCCUGAGACGCUGCCGAUGACA